GAAAAGCUUCUGGUUUGGAGGGUUAUACUGGCCUGGUUCUCGCUACAGUGAGAAAGUUGCUGAUGCUCCUCACCACAGCAAGAAACAUUUUGUUUUGCUGCCCGAAUCUCACUGCAGAGAGAAACUUUCUGUCCUGCAUGCUACCUUGUUUGAUUGCUAUCCCAUUUUUCAUUUCAGUAAUACCAUAGUUGAUCAUGGACUCCCAACAUUAAGGAGUUUAUUUAUUUAAGUUUGAGAUGAGGGGUUUUAGAGAGAAACCCUCGGCCAGUUGUGAAACCCUCGUCCAGUUGAUAAUUUGAGCCCAAAUUUUGCUGCAGCGAAAAUUCAUUCUUGCUGCAGGGAGAAUGCCUUUCCACUAUAGCGAGGACCCGUCGUUUUACUUGACUUGACUUGCUUGAAU
rnacentral:lncRNA from 1 species